GGAGGGGUGGCAGAGCGGUUGAAUGCGGCGGUCUUGAAAACCGCUGAGGGUUCACAGCCCUCCGUGGGUUCGAAUCCCACCCCCUCCGCCA
rnacentral:tRNA from 1 species